UUGCACAGUAACACCCAAGUGUGCUUUAUAUACUCUUGAUUUUAAUUCUGUGCUCUGUGCUACAGCAAUGUCUGUUCUUUUACCUCUGCAUUGAAAGGACUACCUUUUUAAGUGUAUUCAGAAAGUCAGCACAUUA